rnacentral:pre_miRNA from 1 species
GGGGGGACUCCGGAUCCUGGGCUGUGUCCCCGGCGCCCUGGGCUCCGGGGCUUGUGCUGUUGGAUUUGCGCUCCCGGCUGCGCAGCCCCCU